GACGAACGCUGGCGGCGUGCCUAAUACAUGCCAGUUGAGCGAUGAAGAUUGGUGCUUGCACCAAUUUGAAGAGCAGCGAACGGGUGAGUAACGCGUGGGGAAUCUGCCUUUGAGCGGGGGACAACAUUUGGAAACGAAUGCUAAUACCGCAUAACAACUUUCAACAUAAGUUUUAAGUUUGAAAGAUGCAAUUGCAUCACUCAAAGAUGAUCCCGCGUUGUAUUAGCUAGUUGGUGAGGUAAAGGCUCACCAAGGCGAUGAUACAUAGCCGACCUGAGAGGGUGAUCGGCCACAUUGGGACUGAGAAACGGCCCAAACUCCUACGGGAGGCAGCAGUAGGGAAUCUUCGGCAAUGGACGAAAGUCUGACCGAGCAACGCCGCGUGAGUGAAGAAGGUUUUCGGAUCGUAAAACUCUGUUGGUAGAGAAGAACGUUGGUGAGAGUGGAAAGCUCAUCAAGUGACGGUAACUACCCAGAAAGGGACGGCUAACUACGUG
rnacentral:rRNA from 1 species